rnacentral:misc_RNA from 1 species
ACGAGAACAUUGAGCCGUUCAGCGAAGAAGCCUCUCAAGCCGAGAAGCUGUUCGGCAUCAAGCCUCAGCCCGUGCGCACCCGCACCCGCGGCGCGAUGAAAAACGAAGACGUUCAUCAUGGGGCCUCGUUCACCUAUGGCCUGCAAAAAGUCGUGGUGCCGUUUAUCGACUCGGGUAUUCCCGUCGAGUACGAGUUGAUUCGCUCCAUCAACACGGUGGCCCAGGGGUCGAAAGAAAAAAGCUGGGUAUCGUGCGCACCGACGCGCAGCUCUUCGGCGGCUUCUCGUUUGCCGGAGGUUCGCCCCAGACAUUCCCAAGGAGCUCAUUGUCGAGGAGCUCGAAAGCAAUACGAGGUGGAAGAGGUCGAUCCGAAUGCUACGAUCGAUCCCGACAAAUACGACGUGCUCAUGGUGGUGCAACCGUCGUCGCUCGGCCCGCAAGAGCUCGACAACGUGGUCGAGGUGGUCAAGAAAGGCACUCCUACCGCCAUCUUCGAAGACCCGCUCCCCCGCUUCAUGCCGAAUGCUCCGGGCACGGGCCAGCCCAAGCGGCAAAACCCAAUGAUGGCGAUGAUGGGGGGAGGACCGCCGCCGCAAAAAGGAGACAUCCGCCGCCUGUGGAACGUGUUGGGAGUUAGCGUGCCGGGUUCGCCGGCCAUGAGCGGAAUGGGCUUCGAGCCCGACAUUGUCUGGCAAGACUACAACCCCUAUCGCAAGCUGCAAAUUCUCCGACAUAACGCCCGAGUGGGUCUUCAUCCGCC